AGUGCUGUGUAACAAUCAAAUUAUACUUGGUUUAUUUGCUAAUUAUAUAAACCAAUUCGGAUAAUUCAUGUUCAACAAAAUAACAAUAAACAGUCAGAUCACUAAAAAAGUAACUGUACAUUUCGCUCUGUGCAUCAAUCGAGAUAAACAAAACACAACCCUGAUGUCGACAAACGACAAGAAAGUUGCCAAAUCAAGAAGAGAGUCGAACCAAAACCAAAAAGAGAAAAACUGCGCAUUUCCGCUUAGUGUGCUCGCGUCGUAAGAAGUGUGUCGGUAGUGCAGCGGUGAAAAUUUAACUUGCCAGGCUGUUAGGACAAACGGCCGGGAAAAUCGUGGCAAAAUCCAUCCCUUGCUGGGAAAAUAAAUCAGCACCGCGAACACGAUAGUGGCACGACACGCGGAAGCAAAAGACAAAAAAGCCGAUUUUUGCUUGAACUACCGCUGGAACACGACAGAGGCACAAAUCACGGAAAACGCACGAAGAGAUCCGUUAAUUGCUCGGAAUACUGGUGAGUUUCAGUGCGAAAAAAGCAUCAAGCGAACAACGCAUUAACUAUUCGCGUUUUAUUUUUGCGUUCACCAGCUCACACAAGUAAAACGGAAGAAUCCGCCCGUGUGGGAAGAAGAAAAAAGGAAGCGCCAAAGAAGCCCCUCGAAAAAGGGUUAGUACUCGAGCACGAUCCAACCAAAGCGCACAAUCUAACGGCAAAAUUGCCGUAGGGCUUUUUGUUUCUUUGCUUCUUUUCUUUCCCUUUAGUUUUUUCUCUUUUGGUUUCUCUCCAUCUCGGGUACUGCUCGAGCGGGUGGCUGCCAGGCGGAAGCACGCCAAUCGCUGGAAUCGUCGAUUUCGGAACAUCCGGGAACGCGAAGGAGCCGAUAUUCGGAUAAGCUACGGCAGAGGAGCCUUGUUGGCGAUUGGGAGUAGAUUUCGGCCACAGCAAUUCAUCCGGAGAGUUGCGCCGACGAAGACAGCAGCUUGUUUGCUGUUCGGGGAGCGCCGACAAAAAUCACCGAACAACGGGAGCAUCAUCUGGAUUGUCAACAUCCGUGAGUGGUGUUAAUUCCGCCAUCUGGUGGCGGGAAUUGGUAGCGCGAAAUCGAGCAAAGUGUCCAGGAAGCAGACAACGCGAUCGAAGUCAGUCACCAUCGACAGCAGCCGUGUUGCCCCGGGUGAUUUCAACGAGGUUCGGAGAAGAUUAGUGUCCGGGACCGAGCCGGCAUUUUUUUCCUUCCGAAUCGACAACAACGAUCGGAUUAUCGAAUCCACAUCAACAGCGAGUCAAUUGUCGUCCGGAAGUGGGUGGCCAUCGUCGAGCCACAGUCGCUUCAUACGAUUCUACGAAAUUCAUCAAUGGUGUCAGCCACGACAUCUGGUGGCUGGUGUCGGUACUACUCGGCACAUAAGGUAGCAACAGCGACGGUCGGUCGUUUGCUCCGUGAGCCACCGGGGUGUGUUAGCCGGUCCCCGGAGGCGCAUUGCCUGGUGGCAAGCGGGAACUGUGGUCAGCAGAUGACGAUCGAACUCAGCGACACUUUGGAAGGGCCCGCAGCGGCGAGCAACUCAUCAGGUGGAGCAAUGCACAACGAGAAAAACAUGUAAGUCGAAAUGUUACGAUUACCUUGUUAUUAUCCACCCACAUAAUUUCUCGAUAAUGGGCCAUUUGGUCGAAAUAAAAUGACUGUCUGACACAAAGUCAGAAUAUGAACAUGAA